GAAAUGCGAUAAGUAGUGUGAAUUGCAGAAUUCCGUGAAUCAUCGAAUCUUUGAACGCACAUUGCGCCUCUCGGCAUUCCGGGAGGCAUGCCUGUUCGAGCGUCACCAGAAUCAACUCAAGCACUUUUGCGCGUGGUCAUGGAGGAAGAGUGCGCCCCCGUGGUGGUCUCCCCUCCCAAAAUCAAUGGCGGAGCGUCACUGGAACUCCUCGGCGUAGUAGCAUCGUUCGCCGAUCAUCCCAGUGUCCCUCCCGCCGCACAACCCCCAGAAUUCUCUUGAUUGACCUCGGAUCAGGUAGGGAUACCCGCUGAACUUAAGCAUAUCAAUAAGCGGAGGAAAAGAAACCAACAGGGAUUGCCUUAGUAACUGCGAGUGAAGCGGCAAAAGCUCAAAUUUGAAAUCGGUGUCCACCAAUCGCAUCGAGUUGUAAUUUGGAGGGGCAACUUCGGGGAUGAACCACAUCCUAAGUUCCUUGGAACAGGACGUCAUGGAGGGUGAGAAUCCCGUGUCUUGAUGUCGGGUCAAACCAUGUGAAGUGUCUCCGACNANUC
rnacentral:rRNA from 1 species